rnacentral:rRNA from 1 species
GACGAACGCUGGCGGCGUGCUUAACACAUGCAAGUCGAACGGAAAGGCCCUGCUUUUGUGGGGUGCUCGAGUGGCGAACGGGUGAGUAAUACGUGAGUAACCUGCCCUUGACUUUGGGAUAACUGCAGGAAACUGGGGCUAAUACCGGAUAGGAGCUCCUGCUGCAUGGUGGGGGUUGGAAAGUUUCGGCGGUUGGGGAUGGACUCGCGGCUUAUCAGCUUGUGGGUGGGGUAGUGGCUUACCAAGGCUUUGACGGGUAGCCGGCCUGAGAGGGUGACCGGCCACAUUGGGACUGAGAUACGGCCCAGACUCCUACGGGAGGCAGCAGUGGGGAAUAUUGCACAAUGGGCGGAAGCCUGAUGCAGCAACGCCGCGUGCGGGAUGACGGCCUUCGGGUUGUAAACCGCUUUCGCCUGUGACGAAGCGUGAGUGACGGUAAUGGGUAAAGAAGCACCGGCUAACUACGUG